CCUACGGGUGGCAGCAGUGGGGAAUAUUGGACAAUGGGGGCAACCCUGAUCCAGCCAUGCCGCGUGUGUGAAGAAGGCCCUCGGGUUGUAAAGCACUUUCAGUGAGGAAGAACGCCUGGUGGUUAAUACCCAUCAGGAAAGACAUCACUCACAGAAGAAGCACCGGCUAACUCCGUGCCAGCAGCCACGGUAAUACGGAGGGUGCGAGCGUUAAUCGGAAUUACUGGGCGUAAAGCGCGCGUAGGUGGCUUGAUAAGCCGGUUGUGAAAGCCCCGGGCUCAACCUGGGAACGGCAUCCGGAACUGUCAAGCUAGAGUGCAGGAGAGGAAGGUAGAAUUCCCGGUGUAGCGGUGAAAUGCGUAGAGAUCGGGAGGAAUACCAGUGGCGAAGGCGGCCUUCUGGACUGACACUGACACUGAGGUGCGAAAGCGUGGGUAGCAAACAGGAUUAGAUACCCCUGUAGUC
rnacentral:rRNA from 1 species